rnacentral:rRNA from 1 species
AUUGAACGCUGGCGGCAGGCCUAACACAUGCAAGUCGAACGGUAACAGGAAGAAGCUUGCUUCUUUGCUGACGAGUGGCGGACGGGUGAGUAAUGUCUGGGAAACUGCCUGAUGGAGGGGGAUAACUACUGGAAACGGUAGCUAAUACCGCAUAACGUCGCAAGACCAAAGAGGGGGACCUUCGGGCCUCUUGCCAUCGGAUGUGCCCAGAUGGGAUUAGCUUGUUGGUGAGGUAACGGCUCACCAAGGCGACGAUCCCUAGCUGGUCUGAGAGGAUGACCAGCCACACUGGAACUGAGACACGGUCCAGACUCCUACGGGAGGCAGCAGUGGGGAAUAUUGCACAAUGGGCGCAAGCCUGAUGCAGCCAUGCCGCGUGUAUGAAGAAGGCCUUCGGGUUGUAAAGUACUUUCAGCGGGGAGGAAGGGAGUAAAGUUAAUACCUUUGCUCAUUGACGUUACCCGUAGAAGAACCACCGGCUAACUCCGUGCCAGCAGCCGCGGUUAAUACGGAGGGUGCACGCGUUAAUCGGAAUUACUGGGCGUAAAGCGCACGCGGCGGUUUGUUAAGUCAGAUGUGAAAUCCCCGGGCUCAACCUGGGAACUGCAUCUGAUACUGGCAAGCUUGAGUCUCGUAGAGGGGGGUAGAAUUCCAGGUGUAGCGGUGAAAUGCGUAGAGAUCUGGAGGAAUACCGGUGGCGAAGGCGGCCCCCUGGACGAAGACUGACGCUCAGGUGCGAAAGCGUGGGGAGCAAACAGGAUUAGAUACCCUGGUAGUCCACGCCGUAAACGAUGUCGACUUGGAGGUUGUGCCCUUGAGGCGUGGCUUCCGGAGCUAACGCGUUAAGUCGACCGCCUGGGGAGUACGGCCGCAAGGUUAAAACUCAAAUGAAUCGACGGGGGCCCGCACAAGCGGUGGAGCAUGUGGUUUAAUUCGAUGCAACGCGAAGAACCUUACCUGGUCUUGACAUCCACGGAAGUUUUCAGAGAUGAGAAUGUGCCUUCGGGAACCGUGAGACAGGUGCUGCAUGGCUGUCGUCAGCUCGUGUUGUGAAAUGUUGGGCUAAGUCCCGCAACGAGCGCAACCCUUAUCCUUUGUUGCCAGCGGUCCGGCCGGGAACUCAAAGGAGACUGCCAGUGAUAAACUGGAGGAAGGUGGGGAUGACGUCAAGUCAUCAUGGCCCUUACGACCAGGGCUACACACGUGCUACAAUGGCGCAUACAAAGAGAAGCGACCUCGCGAGAGCAAGCGGACCUCAUAAAGUGCGUCGUAGUCCGGAUUGGAGUCUGCAACUCGACUCCAUGAAGUCGGAAUCGCUAGUAAUCGUGGAUCAGAAUGCCACGGUGAAUACGUUCCCGGGCCU